rnacentral:rRNA from 1 species
GAUGAACGCUAGCGGCAGGCUUAACACAUGCAAGUCGAGGGCAGCGGGGUGUAGCAAUACAUCGCCGGCGACCGGCGCACGGGUGCGUAACACGUAUGGAAUCUGCCCUUUACUGGGGAAUAGCCCGGAGAAAUCCGGAUUAAUGCCCCAUAACAAGCGAGGUGGCAUCACCUUGCUUUGAAAGCUCCGGCGGUAAAGGAUGACCAUGCGCACGAUUAGCAG